rnacentral:ncRNA from 1 species
UGAAAUGCGAAGAAAGAGCACAAGUAGCGAUUCGAUAGGGCUUGAUACGAGAGAGGGAAACCCUUGGCUGGAAGUUUUCCCGGGUCCGGAAUCGUGAAAUUUCACUCUGGAGCUGUCUUUUUGAAAAGCAAUUGAGUAGAGAAGACCGGCGAGGGGCCGUUAUCCCCGAUGCAACGAGUGGUCAUGAAUGACAAUUUGGGUGGUACCGCGGAGAAAAUCUUCGUCCCUUUU